GAAACCGUCCAAUUAAUAUUCUCUGUGAGCACCCAAAAAUAAAAAAUAAAAAGUAAAAAGUAGCACAAAGACACAUCACAAUUUCACACGGGUUUAAUAUUUCACUCAUCAGAGAGACUUUCCACCACGGCACUCGUUCCCACCGCCGUCAACACCAAUGGCAGACGAAUCCUCUCUUCGCGUCUCAGAUCUCUGCCGAGGAGUCCGAUGCCAAAGAGCUCGUUCUCACAUUGGAUCACUCCAACUUCCACCACACUGUCAGCAAGCAUGAUGUUGUCGAGUUCUACGCACCAUGGUGUGGCCUCUGUAAGAAGCUUGCUCCCGAGAAACAAAGUGGUCCUGCUUCAACUGAAAUUAAAUCUGCUGAUGAAGCUACUGCAUUUAUUGGUGAAAACAAAGUUGCUAUUGAAACAUAUGAAGAAUUAAUGACACAAAAAUAUGGAGAAGACACUUCAUCUCAUCUUGUAAUUGAUUCUGAUCUUUGGUUAAAAGCUGCAGGUAAAAACAAGAAGAAAAGAGUUCAUGGCAUGGGGCAUAGCUUGGAUCUUGGAACUAGUAGCUCUACACAAGCUUCAUCUCCAGAGGUUGCAAGUUCCUCUACAAAUCUUACGCCUAUGACAGAAGAACGGGUCACUACAGUUAUAAAUACUGCAUUGGCCUCUUUUUUGCAAACACAAUUACCAGAGAUGAUGAGAUAGAUAAUUCAGGCAGUUCAACCAUCAACAACACCAUCAACCAACCAACGUAGGGAGGAUUAAGGACGAGAUGAUGAUUUUACUAGCUUAGGUUGAUUACUAUUUAGGAUGACUCAUUAUUUGGCUUUUCUUUUUGUAAGAAAUUGAUUAGUUUGGGUUUCUUUAAGAUAGUAUGCACAAGUUGGAUUUUGUAAGACAUUUAACAAUUUAGUUUUUUAUUUUAAAUCAUGUCCAAUUGAAAAAAAUUAUGUAGUUGAUUUAAAUUUAUUUAAAAUAUCAAAUU